ensembl:antisense Gm16058 predicted gene 16058
CCUGCCACUCUUCUGCAUGGGCUGUAUCCAGGCAGAGAUCCCGUGGUGAGCAGGUGACCAGAGCCACAAGGGCUGGGGAGAUGGCUCUGUGUGUAAAGUCCCUGCUGUACACCAGGACCCGAGUCCAGAUCACCAACAUGCACGGAAAAGUUGGGUAUGGAAGACACUAUGCCUGUGAUCCUGUCACUGGGGAGGAAGAAACAAGAGGCUCCCUGGGGCUUGAUGUCCAGCCAGUGAGCUCUAGGUUCAGUGAGAGACAAUGACUCAAGAAAAUCAGAGGCUUAGCUCCUCACUUCACACAGAAGCAGCAGCAAUAACCUCUGAUACACAUCCAAGGUGCCACGUGUGCCUGGGACCUGUGGCUUAUGGCAUGGGUGGCUUUGAAUGCAGCCCAAGCACAGAACUCAUAAACGUAUUUAAAACAUUA